UUUGGGUGAGAGUAAGCCAUGCGAGUUGUAUGGGAUACCUAAAUUUCCCAUGGCAAACUGCUCAGUAACACAUGAUCAACUUACCCUAUAGAGGAAAAUAACCUCGGGAAACUGAGGAUAAUUUUCCAUAGUUGAAUCGGCUUGGAAAAGUUUUUCAAUAAAAGGGAUAAGAAAAAUGGUUCUUAUCUGCUAUAGGAUAGGAUCGUGCUCGAUUAUGGUUGUUGGUGAGGUAACGGCUCACCAAGCCGACAAUCGAUAGGGGCCGUGAGAGCGGGAGCCCCGAGAUGGGUACUGAGACAACGACCCAGGCCUUACGAGGCGCAGCAGGCGCGGAACCUCCGCAAUACACGAAAGUGUGACGGGGUUACCCAAAGUGUUCUAUUUAGAACUGUGGUAGGUGAGUAAUGUUCCCUACUAGAAAGGAGAGGGCAAGGCUGGUGCCAGCCGCCGCGGUAAAACCAGCUCUUCAAGUGGUCGGGAUGAUUAUUGGGCUUAAAGUGUCCGUAGCCGGUUUAGAAAGUUCCUGGUAAAAUCGGGUAGCUUAACUAUCUAUAUGCUAGGAAUACUGCUAUACUAGAGGGCGGGAGAGGUCUGAGGUACUACAGGGGUAGGGGUGAAAUCUUAUAAUCCUUGUAGGACCACCAGUGGCGAAGGCGUCAGACUGGAACGCGCCUGACGGUGAGGGACGAAAGCCAGGGGAGCGAACCGGAUUAGAUACCCGGGUAGUCCUGGCCGUAAACGAUGCAUACUAGGUGAUGGCACGGCCAUGAGCCGUGUCAGUGCCGUAGGGAAACCGUUAAGUGUGCCGCCUGGGAAGUACGGUCGCAAGGCUAAAACUUAAAGGAAUUGGCGGGGGAGCACCACAAGGGGUGAAGCCUGCGGUUCAAUUGGAUUCAACGCCGGGA
rnacentral:rRNA from 1 species